UGAACGCUGGCGGCGUGCUUAACACAUGCAAGUCGAACGAGAAAGCGAACUUCGGUUCGUGAGUAGAGUGGCGCACGGGUGAGUAAUACGUGGGUAAUCUACCCUUGAAUUUGGGAUAACAUCGCGAAAGUGGUGCUAAUACCGGAUAAUAUCAAUUAGGCCUUGGUUUAAUUGAUCAAAGAUGGCCUCUUCUUGAAAGCUAUCGUUUGAGGAUGAGUCCACGCACCAUUAGCUUGUUGGUAGGGUAAAGGCCUACCAAGGCGACGAUGGUUAGCUGGUCUGAGAGGAUGAUCAGCCACACUGGAACUGACACACGGUCCAGACUCCUACGGGAGGCAGCAGUGAGGAAUUUUGCGCAAUGGGGGAAACCCUGACGCAGCAACGCCGCGUGAGUGAUGAAGGCUUUUGGGUCGUAAAGCUCUGUCAGUGGGGAAGAAGUUAUUUAUGGUUAACACCCAUAGGUAUUGACGGUACCCACAAAGGAAGCACCGGCUAACUCC
rnacentral:rRNA from 1 species